CCUACGUGUGGCAGCAGUGAGGAAUAUUGGUCAAUGGGCGCGAGCCUGAACCAGCCAAGUAGCGUGAAGGAUGACUGCCCCACGGUUUGUAAACUUCUUUUAUAAAGGAAUAAAGUGAGGCACGUGUGCCUUUUUGUAUGUACUUUAUGAAUAAGGAUCGGCUAACUCCGUGCCAGCAGCCGCGGUAAUACGGAGGAUCCGAGCGUUAUCCGGAUUUAUUGGGUUUAAAGGGAGCGUAGAUGGGUUGUUAAGUCAGUUGUGAAAGUGUUCGGCUCAACCGUAAAAUUGCAAUUGAUACUGGCAGUCUUGAGUACAGUUGAGGUAGGCGGAAUUCGUGGUGUAGCGGUGAAAUGCUUAGAUAUCACGAAGAACUCCGAUUGCGAAGGCAGCUUACUAAACUGCCACUGACAUUGAUGCUCGAAAGUGUGGGUAUCAAACAGGAUUAGAUACCCGGGUAGUC
rnacentral:rRNA from 1 species